rnacentral:lncRNA from 1 species
GAAACGGGCAAUGAGGUCAGACAGCAGGGGUCCGAUGGCUUUGGGCUGGGGUUGGAGGGGCCAGUGUUUGCAGAAUGGAGCUUGAAAGGGGUGAUUGGCAGGUACUGCUUUUGUUACUGUUCUCCAGACAGGCACACUGAGGCCCUUGUGUUCUCUCCUCCUCUGGCCAGACUCCAUCCCUGGCGACAGAAUCACGUGACAUCUGAGGCAGGACCAGACAAACAUCCAGCCUCUCUGAGGGACCCAAUGUCAUGAUUCUCACAUGUAGCCAUGUUUGGAAAUCCCUGGCCUGAAUGCCCCUCCUCAUGGUUAUAUAGCAACCCUGCACACGUAUUAGAAGUGCAGGAUGGAGGCCCCAACAACAGUGGGUCUGUAUUUUAAUUAGCCCUGUGUGACAGUUGAGUAUCUCCUCUCCUGGGUGUUGAAAUGUCAUAGAGGACCUGCCUCAUGGAGCCCUGGGCUCAAGGCUUCUUUCUUCCUCUUACCCCACCAGCCUUGGUAUGAGGUAUCAACCCCACAUUGUAUGUUGGACUCAGAAGCCCCUAGGGAAGGAGAGAAGGUUUCACCCUUCUCCAGGACCCACCAUCAACAUACUUCAUCUCCAACCUGCAGAGGAAGGGUCUGGAGAAAACGGAGUAUGGAAGAGGGCAGGAGACUCUUACACGCGUUCUCGCGACCGGCCAGGAAGAACACAACAAACCGGAAUCUUCUGCGGCAAAAGCU